UACGUAGGGGGCAAGCGUUGUCCGGAAUCAUUGGGCGUAAAGCGCGUGUAGGCGGUCCGGUAAGUCGGUUGUGAAAGUCCAGGGCUCAACCCUGGGAUGCCGAUCGAUACUGCCGGACUAGAGUCCGGAAGAGGCGAGUGGAAUUCCCGGUGUAGCGGUGAAAUGCGCAGAUAUCGGGAGGAACACCAGUGGCGAAGGCGGCACUCUGGGCCAGUACUGACACUGAGGAGCGAAAGCGUGGGGAGCGAACAGG
rnacentral:rRNA from 1 species